GCUGAGGGGAGGGGAGCAGGAAGGAGACUAGGGCUGGUCUGGGAGGGCUUUGGCAGCCAAAUGAAGCAGCCCUUUGCUUGCUGCUGUGACCAAGUAGGACUUCAUAUUCCCUUCCUUAUUUUACUUUUGAGGCCAGGGACUCUCAGAGAGUUUAAAUGGCUUUCCUAAAAUCAAAUGACUAUGUAUUGACAAGGCCACUGUAUCUUCUUUGGGUUCCCCCGGAAUCAGACCUUGUCACAGGAGUUCAUUAUUUGGAGGAUAAGUGGAGGAAGCACCAGCAAGGAACUGGGAAGGGGAGCAAGGAGAGAAGACUGCUGAUAAAAGGCUUUCAGCUUUUCAGAUAGAAUAUGAUUAUGCGGCAGCUCAGACCUGAGAAGACUCUUUGGGAAAUUCUGCUAAGGAUUUAACCAAUGCCAAAACCAUAUGCCGACAGUUUCAGGAGCAAUGGUACUCAUGGUUAAGGAACGGGGACUCUCUCCCUAGGCUCCAGCUGCAGAAGCCUCUCCUAACCAUUUGUAGAAACAUCCAUCCAAAUGCGAGUCUGACCAUGUCUCUUCUGAAGACCUCUUCCCGGCAGCUCACUGGCUGUUAGUUCAAGGCUGGGCGUGACAGUGGGUGUGAUACAGGUGGCUCUGGCCUGCUGAUGACCUCCAGCAGGAUCUGCUCCCAUCAUGCUUGCCUCCUAUGACCUCGCCCAUCUAACUCACCAAUAACCCUUCUUUGAGUUUUAUAGGAAGAGAUACUACUUCAUGCUUUCAUUUGCAUCUGUUGUUUUCUUUGCUUCCAAGAAAGCCCUGCCCCGCUUCUUCCUCCACUCUCUCUUCUCCUACAGAUUGCCUCGUCACCUCUAUUUCUCCUUCAGAACAAGCUCAAAUGUCAGUUUCUGCAGGGCCCUCUCUUUAAGACUCCUUGCACCUCCAGGAUUAAAAGCUCUCUCCUUUUUCUAUUUCUGCAUCCUUCUCACACUUUAUACUGUAUCAGAUUGUUUGUUCAAUUUGUUUAUGUGUCCUCUUUCAUUCAUAAGCUUGAUGAAAACAGGGUCCAGCUUUUUAUUAGUCUCUAUUAGUCUCAUCAACUAGACAGAGUCUGGUACAUCAUCAACAAUCAUUAUUUGUUGUAUGAAUGAAUCCUAAACUUUAGGUUUAGCAAUUAUUCAAUAUUCAGUAAAUGUCCAUUUAUUCAAUUAAAAUAAAUUAUUCAAUAAAUUUUAGAAAACCUGAACUCCUCAGCUACACUGUAGGAUAAACUUUGUAAAUAAAGGUGCUCUUUCUCAGUCCAUAGCUUUGAGAUCCAAAACAGGACCAUGGACAAUCAUUUUAGCUCCUGGCUGAGUCUUCAAUCCUAUAAUUAUUUAUGAUUCUAUCUUUCAAAUUCCCAUGAUAUUCCUAUUGUAAACUUCUCAGAAAUCUCAAUCAGGCAAAGGAAGCAAACACAUUGAAGUCUGAUUUAAACUUUUUUGGUCUCUUGGGGCUUCUGGUCAGAUGAAGAAAGAAGUUACAGGACAGGCAGAUUUAGUAGAGUACAAGUUUUCUACAGACAGUGGUUAAGACGACACUGUCCGUGAUAAAACAGAAACAAGAAAAUCCUAGGUCAGAGAACGCUGUAGAGAGUGGCUGCCAUCACACUCUCCAUCAACAUAAGUCCUGCUAAUUCUCUGAUUCAUGUCUCCAUUUGAUAUGAAGUGUUACAGUCAUCUCCUCUCCUUCUUGAUCUCAUGCAUAAAUAAAUCUUUCCUUGGAAACAGAGAAGUAGAUUUCUUGUCAGUACCCCCUCAGAGACUUCACUGAACUGGGAGUGAUUCAUUCCAUGUGGCGUCAAGCCUCUUUGUUAGAUUAAUGUCUCAUUGAAGUUGUACAAGUGACUAACAGAUGGGAAAGUUUUCUGGAGAAAGUAAGUUGGUUGCUUGUAAGUUUUGAGUCUGUUCGAAGAAUCUCUGAGAUCUGCUCUUGCUGUGUUUUUCAUUUUGAUCUGAUAUUGUUAAUUCGAAACUGGCUUAAAAGUACCCUAGAAGUUUAGAUUUGCUCUUCUCCUGCACGUUUUAAACUAGAGGACUUCUGCCUUUAAACCAAUUCUGCAGAUCAAGAGAGUUUAUUAAAAUUAAGCAGUAGCCUCUGAAUGUGUGACUAUUUUAUGAGCGUUAAAUGGAGUCAACAGUUUGCAGUACUUAGAACAUGGCUCCUGGAUUAAGAAACCUUGAGAAUAGGGGUCCUUUUUACUGCUAUUGAUAUUUUCUUACUGCUCCCUCGCCCCCUUAUUCAGUUCUGCCCCAAGGCUCUGUUUUGGGUUAAUAACACCCUCUCUGGCCUCAUUUGGACUAGCA